rnacentral:tRNA from 1 species
GCGGGUAUAGAUUAGUGGUAGAUCUCCUGCUUGCCAAGCAGGGGGCAUGAGUUCGAUUCUCAUUGUCCGCA